rnacentral:rRNA from 1 species
ACGAACGCUGGGCGGCGUGCCUAACACAUGCAAGUCGAACGUCGAAUGCCCGCAAGGGGCUAAUGUAGAAGUGGCGCAACGGGUGAGUAACGCGUGGAAUUACCUGCCUGCGUAUCUGGGGGAUAACGAUCCCGAAAGGGUCGCUAAUACCGGCAUAAGCACCGGGACCUUCGAGUCAUGCGGUGAUCAAAGGCUGGGGAUCUGUCAAGACCUAGCUACUCGAAGAUGGGCUCCGCGCCGAUUAGCUAGUUGGUAGGGUAAUGGCUCUACCAAGGCGACGAUCAGUUAGCCUGGUCUGAGAGGGCUGACAGACACACUGGGAACUGAGACACGGUCCCAGACUCCUACGGGAUGGCAGCAGUGGGGAAUUUUGCGCAAUGGGGCGCAAACCCUGACGACGCAACGCCGUGUGAGGAUGAAGAGCUUCGGGUCGUAAAGCUCCUGUCAGAGCGAGACGAACGGCCGUACGGGUGUAAUACAUCUUCGGAUUGACGGUACCCUAAGAAGAAGCCACCGGCUAACUCCGUGCCAGCAGCCGCGGGUAAUACGGGGGGGUGCAAGCGUUGGUUCGGAAUUUACUGGGCGUAAAGGCGCGUGUAGGCGGCCUACUAAGUCUAGAUCGUGAAAGCCCGCGGCUUAACCGGGGAAGCUGCUCUGGAUACUGGAUGAGACUGGAAGGUUGGGAGAGGGUAGUGCGGAAUUCCUAGGUGUAGCGAGUGAAAUGCGUAGAAUUCUGGAGGAACACCGGUGGCGAAGGCGGCUAUCCUGGACCGAUUCUGACGCUGAGACGCGAAAGCCGUGGGAGCAAAACAGGAUUAGAUACCCCUGGUAGUCCACUGCCGUAAACGAUGAGAACUUAGGUGUGGCGGGUAUCGAUCCCUGCCGUGCCGAAGCUAACGCAUUAAGCAUUCCGCCUGGGGAGUACGGUCGCAAGGCUGAAACUCAAAGGAAUUGACGGGGGCCCGCACAAGCGGUGGAGCAUGUGGUUCAAUUCGACGCAACGCGAAGAACCUUACCCAGGCUUGAACAGCGAGUGACCAACUCCGAAAGGGGUCUUCCGCAAGGACACUCGUAGAGGUGCUGCAUGUGCUGUCGUCAGCUCGUGUCGUGAGAUGUUGGGUUAAGUCCCGCAACGAGCGCAACCCUUGUUUGCUGUUGCCAUCAGGUUAUGCUGGGCACUCUGCGAAGACUGCCGGUGAUAAACCGGAGGAGGGUGGGGAUGACGUCAAGUCAGCAUGGCCUUUAUGUCUGGGGCUACACACGUGCUACAAUGGCCGGUACAAACCGUCGCAAAACCGUAAGGUCGAGCUAAUCGGAGAAAGCCGGUCUCAGUUCGGAUUGUAGGCUGCAACUCGCCUGCAUGAAGUUGGAAUCGCUAGUAAUCGCGGAUCAGCACGCCGCGGUGAAUACGUUCCCGGGCCUUGUACACACCGCCCGUCACAUCACGAAAGCCGGUUGUACUAGAAGUCGCCAUACCAACCCGCAAGGGAGGGAGGCGCCUAAGGUAUGGUCGGUGAUUGGGGUG